rnacentral:piRNA from 1 species
UGGAUGGCAGGUUCCAAGGUGUCCA